UUUUUAUUGGACGUUGUUCGUCAUGUGUCAUGAUUUUAUUAUAGGUUGACCUUAAUUAGGUGCAUGAAAUUAACGUCCAAUAAAUACGCGACACAUGGCGGUCAACAUCUAAUAAAAAUGUGACACGUGACGGUCAACAUUG
rfam:Glycine max cultivar Williams 82 chromosome 15, whole genome shotgun sequence.